GGGGUAUAAUAGACCAAUAUAAUUAGCUUUUACUCUUUGUUCGAUUGAAUGAGAAAAAGUACUCGCUGCAAAUUUAUACUGUUAGGGCGUAACUAAAUAGUCUAAUGUUGUUCCAGUUUUCUAUCUUCUAAACAUAAACAUCGCUUCGUUCGAAAUUUACAUUCUCAGUGUAUAAUUGAACAAUAUAAUUAGCUUUUACUCUUUAUUCGAUUGAUUAAGAAAAAGUACUCGUUGCAACGUUGUACUGUUAGGGCGCAACUGAGUGGUCUAAUGUUGUUCCGGUUUUGGUUCUUGUGAAGGUUGACAUCAAUUUGUUCCAAAUUUACACUCUCGGAGCAUAAUAGAAUAAUAUAAUUAGGUUUUACUGUUUGUUCGAUUGAAUGAGAAAAAGUACUCGUUGCAAAGUUAUGCUGUUAGGGCGCAAUUGAGUAGUCAAAUGUUGUUCCGGUUUUGGUUCUUUUCAACGUUGUCAUCGAUUCGUUCUAAAUUAACAAUCUCGGGGCAUAAUAGAACAAUAUAAUUAGCUUUUACUCUUUGUAAGAUAGAACGAGAAAAGGUACUCGUUGCAAAGUUAUACUCUUAG
rnacentral:lncRNA from 1 species